CGCUGGCGGCGUGCCUAAUACAUGCAAGUCGAACGGUCUUUUCUAUGGAAGCUUGCUUCCACUGAGAAGAUAGUGGCGAACGGGUGAGUAACACGUGGGUAACCUGCCCAUAAGAGGGGGAUAACAUCCGGAAACGGGUGCUAAUACCGCAUAGUUUUCUUGAUUGCAUGAUUGAGAAAGGAAAGACGGCCUUUGUGCUGUCGCUUAUGGAUGGACCCGCGGCGUAUUAGUUAGCUGGUGAGGUAACGGCUCACCAAGACGAUGAUACGUAGCCGACCUGAGAGGGUGAUCGGCCACAUUGGGACUGAGACACGGCCCAAACUCCUACGGGAGGCAGCAGUAGGGAAUCUUCCGCAAUGGACGAAAGUCUGACGGAGCAACGCCGCGUGAGUGAAAGAAGGUUUUCGGAUCGUAAAACUCUGUUGUCAGAGAAGAACAAGUUGGAGAGUAACUGCUCCAGCCUUGACGGUAUCUGACCAGAAAGCCACGGCUAACUACGUGCCAGCCGCGGC
rnacentral:rRNA from 1 species